CACAUAGGGCGCAAGCGUUGUCCGGAAUUAUUGGGCGUAAAGAGCUCGUAGGCGGACUGUCACGUCUGCUGUGAAAAGCUGGGGCUUAACCCUGGCCUUGCAGUGGAUACGGGCAGACUAGAGGUAGGUAGGGGAGAAUGGAAUUCCCGGUGUAGCAGUGAAAUGCGUAGAGAUGUGGAGGAAUACCGAUGGCGAAGGCAGCCCCCUGGGCCCAAUACUGACGCUCAUGCACGAAAGCGUGGGGAGCAAACAGG
rnacentral:rRNA from 1 species